AGCUUUGCGCAGUGGCAGUAUCGUAGCCAAUGAGGUUUAUCCGAGGCGCGAUUAUUGCUAAUUAAAAUCACAUACGG
rnacentral:snRNA from 1 species